CUUCAAUCACUCUCAUUUGUGACAAUGAGGUGCAAAUGGGCACUCUCAAUGAAUAGACUGUUGAUCCGCAUGUGAUCCGUAUUGUGGAAUUAGCAGAUAUUUGAUUUUAACUUUGAAAAGCCCUUUUGAUCUAUACUUU